rnacentral:rRNA from 1 species
UGGUGGGGUGACUGCGUACCUUUUGUAUAAUGGGUCAGCGACUUAUAUUCUGUAGCAAGGUUAACCGUAUAGGGGAGCCGGAGGGAAACCGAGUCUUAAUUGGGCGUUAAGUUGCAGGGUAUAGACCCGAAACCCGGUGAUCUAGCCAUGGGCAGGUUGAAGGUUGGGUAACACUAACUGGAGGACCGAACCGACUAAUGUUGAAAAAUUAGCGGAUGACCUGUGGCUGGGGGUGAAAGGCCAAUCAAACCGGGAGAUAGCUGGUUCUCCCCGAAAGCUAUUUAGGUAGCGCCUCGUGAAUUCAUCUCCGGGGGUAGAGCACUGUUUCGGCUAGGGGGCCAUCCCGGCUUACCAACCCGAUGCAAACUGCGAAUACCGGAGAAUGUUAUCACGGGAGACACACGGCGGGUGCUAACGUCCGUCGUGAAGAGGGAAACAACCCAGACCGCCAGCUAAGGUCCCAAAGUCAUGGUUAAGUGGGAAACGAUGUGGGAAGGCCCAGACAGCCAGGAUGUUGGCUUAGAAGCAGCCAUCAUUUAAAGAAAGCGUAAUAGCUCACUGGUCGAGUCGGCCUGCGCGGAAGAUGUAACGGGGCUAAACCAUGCACCGAAGCUGCGGCAGCGAACGUAUCACCCAAGACAACUUUACGGAGUUGACGAUUGACGGAGCGAAGCGACGUCAAAGCGUUCAUUAAAGUCGAGUUGGCUUAGGGAUACGUUCGUUGGGUAGGGGAGCGUUCUGUAAGCCUGUGAAGGUGUGUCGUGAGGCAUGCUGGAGGUAUCAGAAGUGCGAAUGCUGACAUAAGUAACGAUAAAGCGGGUGAAAAGCCCGCUCGCCGGAAGACCAAGGGUUCCUGUCCAACGUUAAUCGGGGCAGGGUGAGUCGACCCCUAAGGCGAGGCCGAAAGGCGUAGUCGAUGGGAAACGGGUUAAUAUUCCCGUACUUGGUGUUACUGCGAAGGGGGGACGGAGAAGGCUAUGUUGGCCGGGCGACGGUUGUCCCGGUUUAAGCGUGUAGGUGUGUGUUCCAGGUAAAUCCGGUUCACUUUAACACUGAGGCGUGACGACGAGGCACUACGGUGCUGAAGCAACAAAUGCCCUGCUUCCAGGAAAAGCCUCUAAGCAUCAGGUAACACGAAAUCGUACCCCAAACCGACACAGGUGGUCAGGUAGAGAAUACCAAGGCGCUUGAGAGAACUCGGGUGAAGGAACUAGGCAAAAUGGUGCCGUAACUUCGGGAGAAGGCACGCUGACACGUAGGUGAAGUGAUUUACUCAUGGAGCUGAAGUCAGUCGAAGAUACCAGCUGGCUGCAACUGUUUAUUAAAAACACAGCACUGUGCAAACACGAAAGUGGACGUAUACGGUGUGACGCCUGCCCGGUGCCGGAA